rnacentral:rRNA from 1 species
AUACGUAGGGGGCGAGCGUUGUCCGGAAUGAUUGGGCGUAAAGGGCGCGUAGGCGGCGCGGUAAGUCUGGAGUGAAAGUCCUGCUUUCAAGGUGGGAAUUGCUUUGGAUACUGCCGCGCUUGAGUGCAGGAGAGGGUAUCGGAAUUCCCGGUGUAGCGGCGAAAUGCGUAGAGAUCGGGAGGACCACCAGUGGCGAAGGCGGGUAACUGGACUGCAACUGACGCUGAGGCGCGAAAGUGUGGGGAGCAAACAGGAUUAGAUACCCUGGUAGUCCACACUGUAAACGAUGAAUGCUAGGUGUAAGAGGUAUCGACCCCUUUUGUGCCGGAGUCAACACAAUAAGCAUUCCGCCUGGGGAGUACGGCCGCAAGAAUGAAACUCAAAUGAAUUGGCGGGG